rnacentral:misc_RNA from 1 species
GAAAUGCGAUAAGUAAUGUGAAUUGCAGAAUUCAGUGAAUCAUCGAAUCUUUGAACGCACAUUGCGCCCCCUGGUAUUCCGGGGGGCAUGCCUGUUCGAGCGUCAUUUCACCACUCAAGCCUCGCUUGGUAUUGGGCAACGCGGUCCGCCGCGUGCCUCAAAUCGACCGGCUGGGUCUUCUGUCCCCUAAGCGUUGUGGAAACUAUUCGCUAAAGGGUGUUCGGGAGGCUACGCCGUAAAACAACCCCAUUUCUAAGGUUCACCUCGGAUCAGGUAGGGAUACCCGCUGAACUUAAGC